AUGAACGCUGGCGGCGUGCCUAAAACAUGCAAGUCAUACGGGCUACCUUCGGGUAGCCAGUGGCAAACGGGUGAGUAACACGUGGGAACACGCCUUCGAGUGGGGAAUAACGCUGAGAAAUCAGUGCUAAUACCGCAUGUGGUCGCAAGACUAAGGCCGCAAGGCGCUCGGAGAGUGGCCCGCGUCCGAUUAGCUAGUUGGUGGGGUAAUUGCCUACCAAGGCUCCGAUCGGUAGCUGGUCUGAGAGGAUGGUCAGCCACACUGGGACUGCGAACGGCCCAGACUCCUACGGGAGGCAGCAGUUAGGAAUUUUCGUCAAUGGACGCAAGUCUGAACGAGCGACGCCGCGUGAAGGAUGAAGCCUCUCGGGGUGUAAACUUCUUUUCUACGGGAAGAUAAUGACGGUACCGUAGGAAUAAGCACCGGCUAACUACGUGCCAGCAGCCGCGGUAAUACGUAGGGUGCAAGCGUUAUCCAGAUUUACUGGGCGUAAAGCGCACGCAGGCGGAUGAUUAAGUCAGCUGUGAAAGCUCCCGGCUCAACUGGGAAGGGUCGGCUGAAACUGGUCGUCUGGAGGGCAACAGAGGAGUGUAGAAUUGCGGGUGUAGUGGUGAAAUGCGUAGAUAUCCGCAGGAAUACCAGUGGCGAAGGCGGCACUCUGGGUUGUACCUGACGCUGAUGUGCGAAGGCUAGGGGAGCGAACAGGAUUAGAUACCCUGGUAGUCCUAGCAGUAAACGAUGUACACUAGGUGUGGGGGGUAUGACCCCCUCCGUGCCGCAGCUAACGCAUUAAGUGUACCGCCUGGGGAGUACGGCCGCAAGGUUAAAACUCAAAGGAAUUGACGGGGACCCGCACAAGCAGCGGAGCGUGUGGUUUAAUUCGAUGCGACGCGAAGAACCUUACCAGGGCUUGACAUGCUAGCGACAGGUGCGGAAACGUACCCUCCUUCGGGCGCUAGCACAGGUGCUGCAUGGCUGUCGUCAGCUCGUGUCGUGAGAUGUUGGGUUAAGUCCCGCAACGAGCGCAACCCUCGUGGUUAGUUGUAUACUCUAGCCAGACUGCCCGUACAAGCGGGAGGAAGGUGGGGAUGAUGUCAAGUCAGCAUGGCCCUUACGUCCUGGGCUACACACACGCUACAAUGGUCGGUACAAUGGGCAGCGACCCCCGCGAGGGCAAGCGAAUCCUCAAAGCCGACCUCAGUUCAGAUUGCAGGCUGCAACUCGCCUGCAUGAAGUCGGAGUUGCUAGUAAACGCGCGUCAGCAUAGUGCGUUGAAUAUGUUCCCGGGUCUUGUACACACCGCCCGUCACGUCAUGGAAGCCGGCAACACUUGAAGAUGGUGAACCAACUCGCAAGAGGGGAAGCUGUCGAGGGUGGGGUUGGUGACUGGGACGAAGUCGUAACA
rnacentral:rRNA from 1 species